AACUAGAUAGCCCAGUUGGUAGAGCAUGAGAUUCUUAAUCUCAGGGUUGUGAGUCUGAGCCCCAGGUUGGGUG